CACAGUGACACACUCUUAAUGUAAAAUGUACAUUACAGAAAUAGCCUUUUUUGAUUUUUUUAAACAUCCAGUCAAUUAUUUGACGUCGUCAUGAUAUUUCAAAUAUCUACGUACGACAGUGUUUAUGUAUGUCGAGGAUAGUCACCGUCUGAACGACAUAGUCGACAUUAAAGAAUCAAGUGCACGCUUGAAUUGAAUUGAAACCGAUUUAAGCGUCUGUUGAUUAACAGCUGGGCAGCAGUCAUGAUUAUAAUAAAAAAAGUUUCACUUGGCAAAGAUUUUGAAAAUUCUUGUAUCUACCAGCAAGCAAAGUUCAGAAAGGUGUUAUGAAGAUAAAGUAUAAACCUAUGUAUCCAAUGCCAGAUCCCAAAACACCAAGUCACUACAUAAACUCAGUGAACAAAGAAAGUGUGUGUAUGUUUAAAUCCUCCUUCAUCGACAUUUAUGACAAAAUUUUACACUUUGUGUAAAAUAUAAACUCAUAGACAACAGUAUUCAGAACGUGACUAAUCAAAUAAUGCUUCACAUUGGUGAAGUUGAGCAAAAUGCUUUAAAUAAACAGCCCAAAGUCCUCAGAAGGAUAAGAAAAUGCUGCAACCCAGAAAAAUAACAUCAAACAUUACCUCAUAUUAAAGAUAAACAUAACAUGAUGUAGUCAUUGUUUUGAAGCUUUAUUGAUGCUCAUUUGAUUUUUCCAAAUGAUUAUAUAGACAAAGAUAUUCUGUGGUACUGGUGUCAUAAAGUUGAAGGGCAAAGUUGUAUGAUUAAAUUGCUCCAUGGGAAAUUUAGGAGAUCAGAGAUUUUCCAUUACAUGUGGUUUGUCCAGAUACAAUUCAUGGUCUACACAAUUUACUGGCAUUAAAAGUUUUGCCUGAAA